UAUUUGGUAACUUAUGAGCUUUCCUGUGACUCAAUUGGAGCAUUGGAACACACUUGACUGAGAUCUGUGUCAAAGUUUACUUUCAGAAUUGCUCUCCAGUCUCAAUGCGCUUGUCACAGUAAAAACCCAAAGUGAUUACCAAUGAAUAGUAGCUGGGAUAUUAAAAAUGUCACUACGAUUCUGCUCAUUAUUUUGCAUUGUAAAGGUGCAAUGGCCCAGUCUACAACAAAGAUCGCCAUCUUAGCUGGCACAGAUGUUACCUUAAACUGCUCUUUCAAGAAGCCUGAACAUGUACCGCUGAAGAAAAUCACGGUUGAGUGGGGGAUGAUGGUGGAUAAAGAGACCAUAAAGCACCUAGUGUAUACGUUCCAGAACGAGAGUGCCAAGGUGCAUCGUGAAGGGUCUCGAGUCGACCAAACGGGGUUGCUUCAGGGCAAUGCAUCCCUUCGUUUGUUCAACAUGACCGUGGCUGAUGAGGGACUCUACCGCUGCAGAGUGAUCAUCACUCCCAACACAUACAAAGUUUCCUCACAGCUGGAAGUAUCAGCCAGACCCUCAGUGUCCUUCCCAGAGACCGCCAUGGUGAAGGAGGGGGAGGAACGGACAUUGAUGUGUGACAUCACAGGAUUCUACCCAGAGAAUCUGGCUGUGACCUGGCUGAUCCAAAAUGGCUCCCGGGUGGCCCGUGGGAGCAUGGCUCGCGGGGCCAUCUCGCGUGAUGUGUGCACUGGAAUGGCUGUGCCCAAUCCAGACGGCACCUACAGUGUCAGCAGUCACAUCACUGUCCAGGCUUCAGCCGUAGGGAGCGGAGGAGCCAUGUACAUCUGUCACAUUGAACAUAGGUCCUACCCUGAUGGAAAAUACAGCAAAAGCAUCUUGUUGACUGUGCAAGUUCCUCCCAGCAUCUCUGACAUCAUCAAACCCACCAUCGUUUAUGCCAUGAAGCCGACCAACUUAAAAUGCACCAUUAAAAGAGUACGACUGAGAGAGUUCAAAGUGAAAUGGUACAAGAUAACAGCCAACAGGGACUGUAACGCAGCUUCCAAUAGCCAAUCAAAGGCACUGUUGAGCCACAAGGACCUGAGUGACCAGGCUAAAAUCCACUCUGAGAGCACGCAUCACGUGUCCACCCUGUCCGUCUGUCUGUCAGUUAGGGAGGACCAGGCUAAGUACCUGUGUGUUGUGCAGUACAGAGGUAGGAAGAUCACCAGAGAGACCACUGUAAGUGUAAAAGUGACUCCAUCGUUCUUUCACAUCUCCAGCAUGCCUCAGAUCCCAGAGGUGAAGAGGUUGCUGGUGCUCUGCUGUCGGGUCGAGAAGUUCUACCCGGACGACCUCCAUCUCGAGUGGUCGAGAAAUGACGGGGAGCAGGUGAGGACAGUCACUAACUAUGGACCGUUCUCUGACCACGAGCGGAUGUACAGCAUGUGGAGUAAGAUCGAACUGACAAUAGCUCAGGAAGACGAGAAGGUGGUCUACACAUGCCGCUUGUAUCACUCCAGUUUCGCCGGGCCAGGAUACAAAGACGUUCUCUAUCAUAUUAACACACAAGGUACUCCUCCAAGCGUGAUGUUCAUCAAGUGUGAGCCACUACUCCCUCUGCAGGAUGAGGAGUGCACGCUCAACCUCUGUGUCAAAGACUUCUGUCCUGAACAAGUGUCUGUCACAUGGUUUAAGGACGGACAGACGGUCCCCAACAGCCAGUUCUUCAACUCCCCACCCAGCCUCAACAUCAAUGGCCUCUACUCUAUGUGGAGCUUCCUCAAACUGAGCCACACCUCGGAGGACUACGGCUCAGAGUUCAGGUGCCGGGUGGUCCACAGUGCCCAGAAGGAACCGGAGGAAAGGGUGUUCACACAUCAGAUCUCAUAGUCACCUAGUCAAGGGAAGUCAGACCUUUGAUCAAAUACUGUGUUUGCACUUUUGCGACUUUUCUAUUGGUUCCAUUACAACAGGAAAGCUCAAUAAAGGACGGCUCAAGUAUUUGAAAUAAUUUCAAGUAGUAUUUGAACCCAGGUCUGGGAUGUAUAUAAGGAUAUUACCGCUAAAGUAUAUAGUAUACCUAAGGUUAUUUUUGUAAAUUAAUUUGAUGCAUUUGUCGUAGCAUACUAGAUAUGCUCAUGAAAUGUGGGGCCUAAACUAGGAAAAAAGUGUCAGUACUACACCUUUUAUAUUGAGGUAAAUUAAUCUAACAAACAUAGGUUCGUAACCCUAUAUACUUACAUCCUGCAUACGGUAUGAAAAUGGCAGAUUGAUCACUAUAAACACUUCAAUUGGGGCGGCAGGUAGCUUAGUGGUUAGAGCAUUGGGUCAGUAACCGAAAGGGUGUUAAUCGAAUCACCGAGCUGACAAGGUAAAACAAAAUCUGUCGUUCUGCCCCUGAACAAGGCAGUUAAACCCACUGUUCUUAGGCCGUCAUUGUAAAUAAGAAUUUGUUCUUAACUGACUUGCCUAGUUAAAUAAAGGUUAAAUAUUAUUAUUAUUAUUUUAAUAAUAAUAAAUAUUUUUAAUAAUAUAUUUUUUAAUAGUAACAUACAUUAAGUCAGAGCUCUGGGUCUUCAGUUUAUGUAUUAGGGACAGACAAAUUUAAAUCAUCAAUCAUUGCCUAGAUGGGUUUUAAAAUUGUAAAAAAAAGACAAGAAAACAAGAACUAAUCAAAACAAACUGCCAAAGCAGCAGCUACUCUUCCUGGGGUCCAUCAAAAUUAAUGCAGUUUGUACCAUUUUAAAAACUUUACAAUACAUUCAGAAUUUUCACAACACACUGUGUGCCCUCAGGCUCCUUCACCACAUAUCUACAAUACUAAAUCCAUGUGCAUGUAUGUUAUCGUAUGUGUUUGUGCCAAUGUUUGUGUUGCUUCACAGACCCAGCUGUUCCAUAAGGUGUUUUUUAAUCUGUUUUUAAAAUCUAAUUGUACUGCUUUACAGCUACUUGAUGUGGAAUAGAGUUCCAUGUAGUCAUGGCUCUAAAAUUCUGUCCUGGACUUGGGGACUGUGAAGAGACCUCUUGUGGCAUGUCUUGUGGGGUAUGCAUGGGUGUUCCAGAUGUGUGCCAGUAGUUUAGACAGACAGCUCAGUGAAGUGGUUAUUUCCUUAAUUUACUUAAACAGUUUUUUCACUUUCUGAGUGUAACAUUAAUACCCACAGACAUGACUGCUCAAGGCUAGGGUUGCAAAACAACCAGUAAUUUAUGUAAUUAAAACAGGUCAUUUAUACUUGAAUGACUUAAAAAAUAUAUAUGAAUUAAAAAUGUGUCUUAAUCGGGCCUCCCGGGUGGCGCAGUGGUCUAGGGCAGUGCUAGCUGUGCCACCAGAGACUCUGGGUUUGAGCCCAGGCUCUGUCGCAGCCGGCCGUGACCGGGAGGUCCAUGGGGCGACGCACAAUUGGCCUAGCGUCGUCCGGGUUAGGGAGAGUCUGGCUGGUAGGGAUAUCCUUGUCUCAUCGUGCACUAGCGAUUCCUGUGGCGGGCCGGGCGCAGUGCACGCUGACCAGGUCGCUAGGUGUACGGUGUUUCCUCCGACACAUUGGUGCGGCUGGCUUCCGGGUUGGAUGCGCGCUGCGUUAAGAAGCAGUGCGGAUUGGUUGGGUUGUGUUUCGGAGGACGCAUGACUCUCGACCUUUGCUCUCCCGAGCCCAUUCGGGAGUUGUAGCGAUGAGACAAGACAGUAACUACUAACAAUUGGAUACCACGAAAAAGGGUGUUAAAAUUUUUUCUUAAAAAUGGUCUUUACAUGUUGUCCAUGGGUUUGUAGUGGAUAGACCAUAUGGUUCAAGAGAAAAUACCCUACCUAAUGAAAAAAGCUAAUCAACCAUGACAUUUUCAAUGAACUCUGCAGUGUUUUUUUUUCUUCAUAACUGCCACCAAAACAAAGUCAUAGUAAAAUAAAUAACAUCCUGAAACCCUGA